UUGCCCCCGGCGAUGAGAGAGGAUGACGCAUGCAGGUGGGUACCCUUAUCCAGAGAAGAAAAUGACCGUAUUCUGAUGAUAAGCUCCGGCCAACUCGUGCCAGCAGCCGCGUAUACGGAAGGAAGCAAGCGUUAUCGAAUCACUGGGCGUAAAGGACGCGUAGGCGGGUUAUUAAGUCAGAUGUGAAAUCCUAUGGCUCAACCAUAGAACUGCAUUUGAAACUGGUAACCUAGAGUAUGGAAGGGGAAAAUGGAAUUAGUGGUGUAGGGGUAAAAUCCGUAGAUAUCACUAGGAAUACCGAAAGCGAAGGCGAUUUCUGGGACAUUACUGACGCUGAGGCGUGAAAGCGUGGGGAGCAAACAGGAUUAGAUACCCUGGUAGUCCACGCCCUAAACGAUGAAUGCUAGUCGUCGGAGAGCUCGUCUCUUCGGUGAUGCACUUAACAGACUAAGCAUUCCGCCUGGGGAGUACGGUCGCAAGAUUAAAACUCAAAGGAAUAGACGGGGUCCCGCACAAGUGGUGGAGCAUGUGGUUUAAUUCGAAGAUACGCGAAGAACCUUACCUGGCCUUGACAUUGAUUGAAUCACUCAGAGAUGAGAGAGUGCCCUUCGGGGAACAUGAAAACAGGUGCUGCACGGCUGUCGUCAGCUCGUGUCGUGAGAUGUUGGGUUAAGUCCCGCAACGAGCGCAACCCUCGUCGUUAGUUGCUAACAGUUCGGCUGAGCACUCUAGCGAGACUGCCUUCGCAAGGAGGAGGAAGGUGAGGACGACGUCAAGUCAUCAUGGCCCUUACGGCCAGGGCUACACACGUGCUACAAUGGGGCGUACAGAGAGUUGCGAUACCGCGAGGUGGAGCUAAUCUCAUAAAGCGUCUCUCAGUUCGGAUUGGAGUCUGCAACUCGACUCCAUGAAGCUGGAAUCACUAGUAAUCGUAGAUCAGCAAUGCUACGGUGAAUACGUUCCCGGGUCUUGUACUCACCGCCCGUCACACCAUGGGAGUUGAUUUCGCCCGAAGCGGGGAUGCUAAACUGGCUACCCUCUACGGCGGAAUUAGCGACUGGGGUGAAGUCGUAACAAGGUAAC
rnacentral:rRNA from 1 species